rnacentral:lncRNA from 1 species
GUAUUUUUUCCGAAUGCGUUUUGUCUCCAUAAGCAUGAUAAGGUAAAUGGGGUUAAAUCAUCAAUAAUUAUUUCACUUUGAUUUCAGGCUUAUUCCUCACAGUUAACAUCUAAUUAAACAUGUACACGCUAUUGUUCUGGAAUCACUCCUGUAUACAUUUGUUUAAAGCAAUCACAUUCUCUCAGGUUUACUCUAUGACAUCUUUAAAUAUAAAUCACGAU